CUAAUCAUGUGAAAUAAGCUGGGAUGUCUAAUCUUUCUGCAAAAUAAGCUGGGGUGUCUAAUAUUCAGGUGAUCCAAACAACUUCAAAACUAUUAGAUACAAGUUAUCACCUACAGGUCGUGCCCACUGGGUUCCCUCACGACACGGGCAGCUUGGUACACAGUGAUGGCCGUCUUCUGAUAACCUUCCCUGCUAUAAUGAACAUUCCUACCAGAGCUUUACUCAUGGCGUGCGCACUAAACCUGCAAUAUACAAGAGAAGAGGAACAGAAACGCUCACACUAGAUCAUACAGAGGCUCUUACCCCUCAUCGGAAUAUAUUAUGUUAACUAGAAUUUAUAAGGUGACUUUAUGUAUGAAUGGUGAAGACUUGUUGCCGUCUUCAGGGUGUUGUCCGUAUGUAAGAUUUUUAGAUUAUUUACCUGUACUUUUUUCUAAUCUUUAUUCCUGUCCAACCUGUAUUGUUGUUCACCCUGUAAUUUUGUCCAACCUGUAUUUUUCUUCACCCUGUAAUUUCGUCCAACCUGUAUUUUUCUUCACCCUGUAAUUUCGUCCAACCUGUAUUUUUCUUCACCAUGUAAUUUCGUCCAACCUGUAUUUUUUAUCUAACUUGUAUUCUCACCCACCCUGUACUCCUGUCCAACCUGUAUUUUUGUUCACCCUGUAAUUUUGUCUAACCUGUAAUGUCAUUCAACCUGUAUCCUCAACAACCUUGUAUUCUCACCCAAACUGUAUUCCUGUCCAACUUGUAUUUUGGCUUGCUCUGUAUUCUCACACACCCUGUACAUGAGUGGACCAAACUGUAAAAGCACAAGAAAAUUGGUGAUAUAUCAAUGUGACAAAACAACGAACAAGAGAUAAAUGUAAGAAUUUUAA